CUUUAGUCUAGCUCUCUCUCUCUCUCUCUCUCCGACAUAGUCAUCUUCCUCCCUCAGCCAUCCAAGCUUAACUCCACAGUUCACAUCCACGAGGAAGGUGAUGUUGUUGCUGUCGCUGACAGACUAUUUUUCCUGGGUUGUGGUUGGUGGGUGUUACUGCGAAUGCUUACAAGGUUGCUGAUUCUCCUUCUAAGAGGUGGAUUUGUUUUGUGCCCAAAAGAUUGUGACUUUGUUGAAAGUUCGUAAAUGGAAAAGGCAGCUGCCCCCUGCGGCUUGGAACGCUCAAUUCGGAGGGUCUGAAGAACAACCAUGUAGUAAGAAAGUUGGAGAAGCAUCAACAGAUUUGCACCAUUGACCAACAUAUUGAAGGGCAAUUUGGUGGUGGUUGUCUGUUGGCUUGUAUUAUAGCAUGGGUUCGUCCGAGUGCUUAACGGUGUUUAUCUGUUUGCAUCUCAUGCCUUAACUCCCUCAGUUUUCUCGGGCAGCUGUCAGAUUGUUUGAAAAUAAUUGUCUACUUUUAAUUUGUUGAAGACUCACCUUGUUAUAUGUUCAUUGCCUUACAUGGCACAUAAACUGUUUCCAUUUUGAAGUUGAACUAUUUCGUACACCUCCAUAUAUAAACAUAGUUGCUCUUUAUGGACAUAUAACAGUUUACUUGUUUGAAACGAUGUGUUCGUUUCCA